rnacentral:rRNA from 1 species
AAGGCAUGGUCCCGACCUUAUUAUCAGCUCUAACUCAACUUACACAUGCAAGUCUCCGCAACCCAGUGAAUAUGCCCUCAAUCCCCCCACCCGGGGACGAGGAGCGGGCAUCAGGCACAAACAUUAGCCCAAGACGCCUAGCCAAGCCACACCCCCAAGGGAAUUCAGCAGUGAUAAACAUUAAGCCAUAAGUGAAAACUUGACUCAGUUAGUGUUAAGAGGGCCGGUAAAACUCGUGCCAGCCACCGCGGUUAGACGAGAGGCCCUAGUUGAUAUUACAACGGCGUAAAGGGUGGUUAAGGAUAAACAAAAAUAAAGUCAAAUGGCCCC